rnacentral:rRNA from 1 species
CCUACGGGUGACAGCAGUGAGGAAUAUUGGUCAAUGGACGAGAGUCUGAACCAGCCAAGUAGCGUGAAGGAUGACUGCCCUAGGGGUUGUAAACUUCUUUUAUAUGGCAAUAAAAUGUUCCACGUGUGGGAUUUUGUAUGUACCAUAUGAAUAAGGAUCGGCUAACUCCGUGCCAGCAGCCGCGGUAAUACGGAGGGUCCGAGCGUUAUCCGGAUUUAUUGGGUGUAAAGGGAGCGUAGGUGGCUUGUUAAGUCAGUUGUGAAAGUUUGCGGCUCAACCGUAAAAUUGCAGUUGAAACUGGCAGUCUUGAGUACAGUAGAGGUGGGCGGAAUUCGUGGUGUAGCGGUGAAAUGCUUAGAUAUCACGAAGAACUCCGAUUGCGAAGGCAGUUCACUGGACUGCAACUGACACUGAGGCUCGAAAGUGUGGGUAUCAAACAGGAUUAGAUACCCUAGUAGUC